AUCCCCCAUGCUUCCAUCAUGCACCAAAGGAGCAGAGAUGUAUGGGCUACCUCACUCUAUCACAGCAGGAUUAAACACAUCUACUUCAAACUUCUAAAGGUUCUCACGACAGCCUUGACCGUUCAGUUAUAUCUGGCUUUCUAUCAGAAGAACAGAACCCACUUCAGCAGACCAGUUCAUAUCAGAUCCUUUAAAGAUCAGCGGUUACUAUGAGAGAGAUUGGUUUCUGCAGAGCUGACCUGAUCUGGGAGCUCAAGAGGAUUUCCCCCCAAAUUUACUGUGGGAAACUGGUCAAGCUCCUGGAGCCUCCAGCAAUUCAUUAAUUACAGAUCAGGGAAUUUUCCUACCCAGACGUACUCCUGAGUCUCUGUUCUGAAUCACAGCUUGGACAAGACCACAAGAACCUAAGAAUAACCGAUGACCCACAACAUCCAGCCUGUCUUCAGAUACUUCCUAUGAUUGAGAACUUGCCUUUCGUGAUAACUCUUCCAACUUUCACAGGAAAAGUUUUCAGAAGAAUUUUACCUGGUUGACUUUGGUCAACAGGUUUAAGCUUCUGGGUCUCGGGGUCUUUUUACUUGUAAAAUUGUUCCAUAUUUGUUGCAUUUCUACUGUGGAUCAGGCAGCCCCAAAUACUUUUUUGGUGGGGGGGGGGAACCAAGGCAGGGUAUAAAUAAACAGAUUGAUGAAAUGAAAAAUAAGCUGCACAGAAAUUUUAGUCUUUGGGGAUAUAAAGUUGAACAAGACAAUAGUCUAAAUGGAGAGAUGGGGACAUAAUCAAACGCUUAUGAGGACAAUACAAUGAGUAAUUUAUUAAGGUUCAGGAAAUUUUGGGGACACUGGGAGCUGGGGACACUGCUUGCUAUUUGCUCUUUUCCCAGCUCCCUCCCACGUGCAAGCUCAAAGUGCUGAUUUACUAUAAAAACUGGAUCAGGACUUCCCUCCAGGUGCCUCCUAUCCAUGCCCUCCAAAGUCCCCUAGACUGUAAACCCCAGUGAAGGCAGGGACCCCAUUGAUUUUAUUCAUCCUUUUAUCCAUCUCAC